rnacentral:rRNA from 2 species
GUCCUUUUGGAUUUUUAUUUAAGGUCUAGUCUGCCCACUGAAUUUAUAUUUUAAAUGGCCGCAGUAUUUUGACUGUGCAAAGGUAGCAUAAUCAUUAGUUUUUUAAUUAAAAGCUUGUAUGAAAGGCUGGACGAGGUAAAAUCUGUCUCUAUUUAAAUUAUAGUAGAAUUUAACUUUUAAGUCAAAAGGCUUAAAUGUUAUUAAAAGACGAGAAGACCCUAUAGAUCUUUAUAGUUUAUUAAAUUAAAUUAAUUUAGAAAUGUUAAUGUUUUAUUUAAUUAAGUUAUUUUAUUGGGGUAAUAAAAAGAUUGAAUUAAUUCUUUUUUAUAAUAAACAUUAAUUUAUGAAUAUUAAUGAUCCAGUUUUACUGAUUAUAAGAUUAAGUUACCUUAGGGAUAACAGCGUAAUUUUUUUAGAGAGUUCAUAUCGAUAAAAAAGUUUGCGACCUCGAUGUUGGAUUAAAGAUUAUUUUAGGUGUAGAAGCUUAAUAAUUUUGGUCUGUUCGACCAUUAAAUCUUUAC